rnacentral:rRNA from 1 species
GAAAGAGGAGGCGAGCGUUAUCCGGUGUCAUUGGGCGGAAAGGGUACGUAGGCGGCUAGUCAAGUCUGAGGUUAAAGACCUCAGCUUAACUGUGGGAAGGCCUUGGAAACUGACUGGCUAGAGUGGGGCAGGGGUUGCGGGAAUUCCCGGUGUAGCGGUGAAAUGCGUAGAUAUCGGGAAGAACACCUGAGGCUAAAGCGCGCAACUGGGCCCUGACUGACGCUGAGGUACGAAAGCUAGGGGAGCGAAUGGG